CCCUAUCAUAUUGAUCACCUUCUUGCAGUCUACACUCAUCAUGUUGAUCCCAAUAAAUUUUAUAACUGGGUUUAAUAUCAUAAAUAGUGAAGUGAUCAUUUACAUCUUGAUGAGAUAGCCAUGGCCCACCCAUACACUUCUUACAAAGACAUUGGAUAAGUUCAUGGUCUCUGAAUUUUUUCUAUAGCAAAAUUAAGAAAUUUUUGAAAUCCAACCUCAUAUUCUAGUGA
rnacentral:lncRNA from 1 species